UACGAAGGGGGCUAGCGUUGCUCGGAAUGACUGGGCGUAAAGGGCGCGUAGGCGGCUCAUACAGUCAGGCGUGAAAUUCCUGGGCUCAACCUGGGGACUGCGCUUGAGACGUGUGGGCUUGAGUGAGGAAGAGGGUCGUGGAAUUCCCAGUGUAGAGGUGAAAUUCGUAGAUAUUCGGAAGAACACCAGUGGCGAAGGCGGCCCGCUGGACAUGUAUUGACGCUGAGGUGCGAAAGCGUGGGGAGCAAACAGG
rnacentral:rRNA from 1 species